CUGCAGCUCGAGUGGUGAUCGAUUUUAUUGAGCCUAAAGCGUCCGUAGCCGGACUAGUAAACCCUUGGGUAAAUUGGGCAGCUUAACUGUCCAAAUUCCGAGGGGACUGCUAGUCUUGGGACCGGGAGAGGUCAGAGGUACUCAAGGGGUAGGGGCUAAAUCCUGUAAUCCUUUGGGGACCACCAGUGGCGAAGGCGUCUGACUAGAACGGAUCCGACGGUAAGGGACGAAACCCUGGGGCGCGAACCGGAUUAGAUACCCGCGUAGUCC
rnacentral:rRNA from 1 species